UACGGGGGGGGGCAAGCGUUGUUCGGAAUUACUGGGCGUAAAGGGCGCGUAGGCGGCUUUGCAAGUGACGGGUGAAAUCCCUCGGCUUAACCGAGGAACUGCCUGUCAAACUGCAUGGCUUGAGACCGGGAGAGGUGAGUGGAAUUCCCAGUGUAGCGGUGAAAUGCGUAGAUAUUGGGAGGAACACCAAUGGCGAAGGCAGCUCGCUGGGACGGUACUGACGCUGAGGCGCGAAAGCGUGGGGAGCAAACAGG
rnacentral:rRNA from 1 species